rnacentral:rRNA from 1 species
UCAGAUUGAACGCUGCGGCAGGCUUAACACAUGCAAGUCGAGCGGGAAAUGUAGCUUGCUACAUUACCUAGCGGCGGACGGGUGAGUAAUGCUUAGGAAUCUGCCUAUUAGCGGGGGACAACAUCUCGAAAGGGAUAGCUAAUACCGCAUACGUCCUACGGGAGAAAGCAGGGGACCUUCGGGCCUUGCGCUAAUAGAUGAGCCUAAGUCGGAUUAGCUAGUUGGUGGGGUAAAAGGCCUACCAAGGCGACGAUCUGUAGCGGGCCUGAGAGGAUGAUCCGCCACACUGGGACUGAGACACGGCCCAGACUCCUACGGGAGGCAGCAGUGGGGAAUAUUGGACAAUGGGGGGAACCCUGAUCCAGCCAUGCCGCGUGUGUGAAGAAGGCCCUUUUGGUUGUAAAGCACUUUAAGCGAGGAGGAGGCUACCGAGAUUAAUACUCUUGGAUAGUGGACGUUACUCGCAGAAUAAGCACCGGCUAACUCUGUGCCAGCAGCAGC